AUCCAGCUGACGAGUCACAAAUGGGAAGAAACUCGCGUCCUGGAU
rnacentral:hammerhead_ribozyme from 1 species